rnacentral:lncRNA from 1 species
CUACUUUAACCUGUGGCAGCCCCGAAUCCGGGUCCCGAAUCGCCGCGGAUCCGGUUCGCUAUUUCUACAACUAUUUGCGGAACAUAUAAACAUAAAUUGUUUAUACAUUAUAUUACACACUAUUCCCCAAGGUCGAGUAACCUUUACUUAAACACAAAUCAUAAGCUAUCUAACACAUAACAAUACUAUUCUUCAACCAUACUUUUACAAAUUAGCUGUACAUUCUAUCCCAAGCUGAACUUGGCAUUUUCCUUUUCCUGUAACUGGCCGUAUUCGCCUUAUCUGCAAUGUUUUAUCAUAAUAUAGCAAGGGUGAGCAUGAAAGUUGCCCAACAAGUUUAAAAACAAUGCAAAGAUAUAUCAUGAUGGAAAGAGAUUGAAUAAUAAGCUGACUAUCCUUCACAAUGUAUUUGUGAAUUAGCAUGAACAAAGUUUUGACUGAACAAGUAUUUAACAGGAAUAACAAUAUAUCUAGACCAACUGGUAAUGAAGGUGAUCAGCCUUUCAUAGCCGACUUAUACAUACAAGAUGUACAGAGUACAAUUCAUAAGCAUAUCUGUCUGAAACCACUCUUAAAAGAGUUUAAGUAAAAAGAACUUGAAAAACUUGCCUGAACCGUUGAUUACCGUAACGCAAUAUAAUACGCUUCUCCUGAAGACCUAAUAUUAAUAAUAUAGAUCUCCAAUAUUAGAAUAAUAUCAUCAUUGUUAUAAAAUAACUUAAACAUAUUUCCACAUACUCCUAUCAGUCUAUACAGCAUAUAAAAC